GGGGUACAGUGGCUCAGUGGUUAGAACGCCUGCCCUUCAUCCCUGGCACCGGGGUUCGAAUCCCACCUCCCCG